rnacentral:tRNA from 1 species
AGGGGAAAUNGAUCCCCCUCAGUGA